AGGAUCAUAACUCAACGGUAGAGUGCAUUCUUGAUAAGGAUGAAAUAGUGGUUCGAUUCCACUUGAUCCUA